AUCUCUUUUCUUUGCAACUCUGUUUUUGUAUUUCUCUCUUCUUUUUUUUCUCUUCAUUUUUUGUUUCUCUGUACAUAUAUGUGUUCAUCUUGUAGAUCUGGGUGAAGUUCUUGGAGAUCUGGGUUAAGUCCCAGUCCAAAGCAGGUACUGAAGUAGCAUGGAUAAAAAGAAAGACUGAAGAUGUUGCAGAAAAUUGAAUGUGUUCUAUUUCUGUAAUUUGUUUGUAAUUAAAUUUGCUUUAUUUUGUUUUGUUUUUAGGUUUUAAGUUUUAUAUUAAUGCUUGCUAUUUGUUGUUUUGUCAAAAAAUUGUAUUAAUGCUUGAUGGAUUCAUUCAAUUUGCAGUGUGAAUGUGAAUUGGGCCAAUCGGUAAUAAUUAGGCCCAAAAGGUUUUAAAUA